rnacentral:tRNA from 1 species
GGGGAUUUAGUUAAUUAUAACAUUUAGUUUGCAUCUAAAAAGUAUUGAAUACCAAUAUUUCUCA